rnacentral:lncRNA from 12 species
UCAGGCUGUCUGAAUUGCUCUUGAAUGCACAAUAGUGGGCCUGGGUACUAAGUGAGAAGCUGCAAGUUUUGUUUCUUCUGUUGGCCUGGAUGUAAUUCUAGAAGGAAUUGCCACUAAUUUUAGAGUGAGCCACAUAAUAGAUCCUUUGAGAGAAGCAGUGGAGGUGCUGUGGAAGGUCAUUGACUCAGUUUCUGAACAUGCCAAGAGGAUGCAGGCAAAUGGUGGUGUGAAUUCAUGCAAGUCAAAAACACCU